GGGGACGUACCGGUUUCGACGGGGUAGUUGAUAUCGGGAAAGCGGGUGGAGGAUUCUCGUUGGCCUCCUAAAUAAACGAGAAAUGCAAGUAAUUGCAAACAACACACAGCUCGUAGCAGCGUAAUAUUGCUACCGUCUGAUCAUUAUAUCUGCGUAAUGUAUCAAGACGCGCUUUGCAGACCUUACCUGUUAGAGGUUAAAUAGGACAACCUCAGUGCAUAAGCUUUGCUGCGCUGUUGCAACAUAUGAAGCUACCGGACGCAUCUCCUGUCAGCGGGAUCAAUGCAGAGGGGAAUACUCUAAUCACUGACUGCACCCGGAGAUGUCCCGGAGGAUUCUGUUCCGGACAGGAGUUCGAUUCUCCUCGUCUCCACCA
rnacentral:tmRNA from 1 species